rnacentral:rRNA from 1 species
UUCCGUAGGUGAACCAGCGGAGGGAUCAUUACCGAGUUUACAACUCCCAAACCCAAUGUGAACGUUACCAAACUGUUGCCUCGGCGGGAUCUCUGCCCCGGGUGCGUCGCAGCCCCGGACCAAGGCGCCCGCCGGAGGACCAACCAAAACUCUUAUUGUAUACCCCCUCGCGGGUUUUUUUUAUAAUCUGAGCCUUCUCGGCGCCUCUCGUAGGCGUUUCGAAAAUGAAUCAAAACUUUCAACAACGGAUCUCUUGGUUCUGGCAUCGAUGAAGAACGCAGCGAAAUGCGAUAAGUAAUGUGAAUUGCAGAAUUCAGUGAAUCAUCGAAUCUUUGAACGCACAUUGCGCCCGCCAGUAUUCUGGCGGGCAUGCCUGUCCGAGCGUCAUUUCAACCCUCGAACCCCUCCGGGGGGUCGGCGUUGGGGAUCGGCCCUCCCUUAGCGGGUGGCCGUCUCCGAAAUACAGUGGCGGUCUCGCCGCAGCCUCUCCUGCGCAGUAGUUUGCACACUCGCAUCGGGAGCGCGGCGCGUCCACAGCCGUUAAACACCCAACUUCUGAAAUGUUGACCUCGGAUCAGGUAGGAAUACCCGCUGAACUUAAGCAUAUCAAUAAGCGGAGGAAAAGAAACCA